UAGCCCAAUACAAAACACAAAAUAGCAUAGCCCUAAUCCCUGAUCCCUUCUCCGGCUCUCGGCUUCUCUGCAUCGCCAGUUCGCCGCCUCCCACUGCGUCCCAGCGGCCAGUCCACCGCGGUCCACGGCGCUGCGCCGACGCCACCGGCUGUCCACCUCCGGCUUCUGCAUUUCUGCCUCGGCCCUCCGCCCUCGACUUCUCGACACCAGCCACAUUCACCAAAUUCCUACGCUGGUUCUUUGGGUAACAAGUAGAAGAAAAUGGCGCUGGGGCUAUUGCUUGGACUUGCAAGGUCAUCAUUCAGAA